rnacentral:snRNA from 1 species
AUCGCUUUGCGGCCUUUUGGCUAAGAUCAAGGGUAG